AGUCGAACGGUAACAGGAAGCAGCUUGCUGCUUUGCUGACGAGUGGCGGACGGGUGAGUAAUGUCUGGGAAACUGCCCGAUGGAGGGGGAUAACUACUGGAAACGGUAGCUAAUACCGCAUAACGUCGCAAGACCAAAGAGGGGGACCUUCGGGCCUCUUGCCAUCGGAUGUGCCCAGAUGGGAUUAGCUAGUAGGUGGGGUAACGGCUCACCUAGGCGACGAUCCCUAGCUGGUCUGAGAGGAUGACCAGCCACACUGGAACUGAGACACGGUCCAGACUCCUACGGGAGGCAGCAGUGGGGAAUAUUGCACAAUGGGCGCAAGCCUGAUGCAGCCAUGCCGCGUGUAUGAAGAAGGCCUUCGGGUUGUAAAGUACUUUCAGCGGGGAGGAAGGGAGUAAAGUUAAUACCUUUGCUCAUUGACGUUACCCGCAGAAGAAGCACCGGCUAACUCCGUGCCAGCAGCCGCGGUAAUACGGAGGGGUGCAAGCGUUAAUCGGAAUUACUGGGCGUAAAGCGCACGCAGGCGGUUUGUUAAGUCAGAUGUGAAAUCCCCGGGCUCAACCUGGGAACUGCAUCUGAUACUGGCAAGCUUGAGUCUCGUAGAGGGGGGUAGAAUUUCCAGGUGUAGCGGUGAAAUGCGUAGAGAUCUGGAGGAAUACCGGUGGCGAAGGCGGCCCCCUGGACGAAGACUGACGCUCAGGUGCGAAAGCGUGGGGAGCAAACAGGAUUAGAUACCCUGGUAGUCCACGCCGUAAACGAUGUCGACUUGGAGGUUGUGCCCUUGAGGCGUGGCUUCCGGAGCUAACGCGUUAAGUCGACCGCCUGGGGAGUACGGCCGCAAGGUUAAAACUCAAAUGAAUUGACGGGGGCCCGCACAAGCGGUGGAGCAUGUGGUUUAAUUCGAUGCAACGCGAAGAACCUUACCUGGUUCUUGACAUCCACGGGAAGUUUUCAGAGAUGAGAAUGUGCCUUCGGGAACCGUGAGACAGGUGCUGCAUGGCUGUCGUCAGCUCGUGUUGUGAAAUGUUGGGUUAAGUCCCGCAACGAGCGCAACCCUUAUCCUUUGUUGCCAGCGGUCCGGCCGGGAACUCAAAGGAGACUGCCAGUGAUAAACUGGAGGAAGGUGGGGAUGACGUCAAGUCAUCAUGGCCCUUACGACCAGGGCUACACACGUGCUACAAUGGCGCAUACAAAGAGAAGCGACCUCGCGAGAGCAAGCGGACCUCAUAAAGUGCGUCGUAGUCCGGAUUGGAGUCUGCAACUCGACUCCAUGAAGUCGGAAUCGCUAGUAAUCGUGGAUCAGAAUGCCACGGUGAAUACGUUCCCGGGCCUUGUACACACCGCCCGUCACACCAUGGGAGUGGGUUGCAAAAGAAGUAGGUAGCUUAACCUUCGGGAGGGCGCUACC
rnacentral:rRNA from 1 species